rnacentral:rRNA from 1 species
UACGUAGGGGGCAAGCGUUGUCCGGAUUUACUGGGCGUAAAGAGCGUGUAGGCGGCCAGAUAGGUCAGCUGUGAAAACUCGAGGCUCAACCUCGAGAUGUCGGCUGAAACCAUCUGGCUAGAGUCCGGAAGAGGAGAAUGGAGUUCCCGGUGUAGCGGUGAAAUGCGCAGAUAUCGGGAAGAACACCCGUGGCGAAGGCGGUUCUCUGGGACGGUACUGACGCUGAGACGCGAAAGCGUGGGGAGCGAACAGG